rnacentral:rRNA from 1 species
GACGAACGCUGGCGGCGUGCUUAACACAUGCAAGUCGAACGGAAAGGCCCUGCUUUUGUGCGGUUCUCGAGUGGCGAACGGGUGAGUAACACGUGUGUAACCUGCCCUUGUCUUUGGGAUAACUUCACGAAACUGGGGCUAAUACAGGAUAGGAUCUCCUGCUCCAUGGUGGGCGUUGGAAAGUUUCGGCGGUUGGGGCUGGACUCGCGGCUUAUCGGCUUGUUGGUGGGGUAGUGGCUUACCCAGCCUUUGACGGGUAGCCGGCCUGAGAGGGUGACCGGCCACAUUGGGACUGAGGUAGGGAGCAGACUGCUACGGGAGGCAGCGGUGGGGAAUAUUGCACAAUGGGCGGAAGCCUGAUGCAGCAACGCCGCGUGCGGGAUGACGGCCUUCGGGUUGUAAACCGCUUUCGCCUGUGACGAAGCGUGAGUGACGGUAAUGGGUAAAGAAGCACCGGCUAACUACGUG